rnacentral:rRNA from 1 species
AGCGGCGGAUGGGUGAGUAACACGUGGGGAACCUGCCCCUAAGUCUGGGAUACCAUUUGGAAACAGGUGCUAAUACCGGAUAAUAAAGCAGAUCGCAUGAUCAGCUUUUGAAAGGCGGCGUAAGCUGUCGCUAAGGGAUGGCCCCGCGGUGCAUUAGCUAGUUGGUAAGGUAACGGCUUACCAAGGCGACGAUGCAUAGCCGAGUUGAGAGACUGAUCGGCCACAUUGGGACUGAGACACGGCCCAAACUCCUACGGGAGGCAGCAGUAGGGAAUCUUCCACAAUGGACGCAAGUCUGAUGGAGCAACGCCGCGUGAGUGAAGAAGGUUUUCGGAUCGUAAAGCUCUGUUGUUGGUGAAGAAGGAUAGAGGUAGUAACUGGCCUUUAUUUGACGGUAAUCAACCAGAAAGUCACGGCUAACUGCGUGCCAGCAGCCGCGGUGAUACGUAGGUGGCAAGCGUUGUCCGGAUUUAUUGGGCGUAAAGCGAGCGCAGGCGGAAAAAUAAGUCUAAUGUGAAAGCCCUCGGCUUAACCGAGGAACUGCAUCGGAAACUGUUUUUCUUGAGUGCAGAAGAGGAGAGUGGAACUCCAUGUGUAGCGGUGGAAUGCGUAGAUAUAUGGAAGAACACCAGUGGCGAAAGGCGGCUCUCUGGUCUGCAACUGACGCUGAGGCUCGAAAGCAUGGGUAGCGAACAGGAUUAGAUACCCUGGGUAGUCCAUGCCGUAAACGAUGAGUGCUAAGUGU